GACCGCGUAGCUCAGUUGGCAGAGCAUGCAUUGGGCUAGUAUUCCAAAGGUCGUAUAUAGCUUCGAUUCCCACCGUGGUCA